UGGGGAAUAUUGCACAAUGGACGGAAGUCUGAUGCAGCGACGCCGCGUGGGGGAUGAAGGCUUUCGGGUUGUAAACUCCUUUCAGUACAGAAGAAGCUUUAUUGUGACGGUAUGUGCAGAAGAAGCGCCGGCUAACUACGUGCCAGCAGCCGCGGUAAUACGUAGGGCGCGAGCGUUGUCCGGAAUUAUUGGGCGUAAAGAGCUCGUAGGCGGUUUGUCGCGUCUGCUGUGAAAGACCGGGGCUUAACUCCGGGGCUGCAGUGGGUACGGGCAGGCUGGAGGGCGGUAGGGGUAACCGGAAUUCCUGGUGUAGCGGUGGAAUGCGCAGAUAUCAGGAGGAACACCGAUGGCGAAGGCAGGUUACUGGGCCGUUACUGACGCUGAGGAGCGAAAGCAUGGGGAGCGAACAGG
rnacentral:rRNA from 1 species